UUGUUGGUAAGGUAAAAGCUUACCAAGGCUUCGAUCAGUAGCUGGUCUGAGAGGACGACCAGCCACACUGGGACUGAGACACGGCCCAGACUCCUACGGGAGGCAGCAGUGGGGAAUUUUGGACAAUGGGGGCAACCCUGAUCCAGCCAUGCCGCGUGAGUGAAGAAGGCCUUCGGGUUGUAAAGCUCUUUCAGCCGGAACGAAACGGUUACGGAUAACACCCGUGACUACUGACGGUACCGGAAGAAGAAGCACCGGCUAACUACGUGCCAGCAGCCGCGGUAAUACGUAGGGUGCGAGCGUUAAUCGGAAUUACUGGGCGUAAAGCGUGCGCAGGUGGUUUUGUAAGUCAGAUGUGAAAGCCCCGGGCUCAACCUGGGAACUGCGUUUGAAACUACAAGACUAGAGUGUGGCAGAGGGGGGUGGAAUUCCGCGUGUAGCAGUGAAAUGCGUAGAGAUGUGGAGGAACACCGAUGGCGAAGGCAGCCCCCUGGGUCAACACUGACGCUCAGGCACGAAAGCAUGGGGAGCAAACAGGAUUAGAUACCCUGGUAGUCCAUGCCUUAAACGAUGUCAACUAGUUGUCGGGCCUUUACGGGCUUGGUAACGUAGCUAACGCGUGAAGUUGACCGCCUGGGGAGUACGAUCGCAAGAUUAAAACUCAAAUGAAUUGACGGGGACCCGCACAAGCGGUGGAUUAUGUGGAUUAAUUCGAUGCAACGCGAAAAACCUUACCUACCCUUGACAUGUAUCGAAGCCCGCAGAAAAGCGGGGGUGCCCGAAAGGGAACGAUAACACAGGUGCUGCAUGGCUGUCGUCAGCUCGUGUCGUGAGAUGUUGGGUUAAGUCCCGCAACGAGCGCAACCCUUGUCAUUAAUUGCCAUCAUUUAGUUGGGCACUUUAAUGAGACUGCCGG
rnacentral:rRNA from 1 species